rnacentral:lncRNA from 1 species
AAAAUAAUCCCCUUGCCCAAAUUCUUGUCCACUCAUUUCUUUUCUCUCCUUUUAUUUCUUUGCUUUCCUGUUUUUGUGAGAGAUUUGAAGAAGAGAGAGGUAGAUGCCAGCAACAAUAGCCGACCAGGCCUCUGGCCUUUCCCUCUCCAUGGUCUGGCUCAGCAGAUCGAGGUCCAAUCAGCAGCCCGCCGGCCUCUAAUGCCCAUUUGGCCCAAGGCCAUCUCGCAGCCCAGCCGCACUAACCCUAGCACCCCCCUGGCCCGAUCUCUCCCGAUUUCCCUCUCCCUCCGCCGCCAGGAGACCCAUCUCCUCGAUCCCCAUCCCCAUCGAUCCCUCUCCUCGAUCCCCCUCGUCCUCCUCCCGAGCGCCACCCACGGGACCCGACGCGCCCCUUCUCUCCCUCCUCUCGCUAUUUUUCUUCGAGCAACAGGGAGUCGCGACCACGCCGCGCUGCUCCGGUGACCGAUCGCCAACCACCGCAGUCGGCAACCUCUAGGAGGCCAUCCUGCGCACGACCCCGAGCCUCUCCACACGCGCCUGCGCCCAUUGCUUCGCUCCCGCAAGCGCGCAGCCGCCCCAUGGCCCCUGCGUUCCUCACCCCGGCCAUCUCCUGCUCAUCACUGGAGUCCCAGCUCUACCGCCUCGGUUCGCCUCGGUUCGCCUCGCCGCUGCUCUGCUCCACACCAGCCUCAACCUCCUUCCCUACGCGUGAGAUGCGCUCCUCCAUCAGCCACCUCGCGCCGGCUCCUUCUGCCUCGCGCCCGAAGCCUUGUCGCUGCCUGCGUACGUCUACCACUUGCAGCCGCCGGAGCAGGACCUCCUCGUCGUGGCUUUGCCUCCGCUAGCAGCCUCCUGCUGCCUGUCAACUCCAUAUCCUUGAGCAGCCCAAGCCGCCGGGCGUUCCGGCCCGUGCACAUCACCGUUGACCCGAGGAGACCACCACCGCAGCUGUGCAUCGCGAGGUUGCUGCACUGGACGCCAAGUACCAUGACCAUCGUGUUCCGUUUCUUCACUGCCAAGACCGAGAGGAUGCCAAGUACCAUGACGAUGAGGACCACCAAGUUCGCCUACCGUCGUCAAGUGAACGACUACCAUCACGCCAAGACAUGUAACCGGGACCGUCAGGCAUCUUCGUUGAGAUUUUUGCCAAGUACCACGACGUCCGUCGAUCGCCAAGUACCCCUUCAUUUCGUCGAGACUGGCAAGUCCGAAGACCCCAAGUAUCACAGUGACCGAUGCCUAGGACCUCGGGCAGGACCUCAGUACGACUACACGGUGAUGGCUCCAAGUACCAAGAACGCGUGUACCACUACCGACGACUGAGACCCUGGAUUCGACAACUUCCUCACGGUGACCCUGAACAUCUACGGGACAUGCUCGACUUCAAACCGUGUACCACGUCGAACACGUACGGCUACACGUCGAACCGCCAAGACCCUGAACGACUACUGCCGCCAAAGUUCGCGAGUACAACUACUUCCACAACGCGUCGCGUACGACUACCUCCACCACAAACGUCCCGAGAACAUCUACUUCCUCUACUUUGCACCAAACGAGAACCGUCCCGUUUGCACACUUCGAAGGUAUAACCCCGAGACGACGCCCGUGAACGAAUGAAUGUAUCUUAUAUGAGAUGCACCCUUGUUUUGCCUCGAGUCUGAACUAUCGGAACGUUGCCCCUCUUUUGCCUUGCCACCGACAUGUGGGAACCCGGUUACCGGGAUCACCCCACCAUCUUUUGCACGCUCCCGUCACUUCCUUUUGCACUGGUAUCCCCGUGGGCUACCGGAUAACCGAUAUGUUGCCGUGGCAUCAUUUUCGUAUUUGUUGUCGUGGCACCCCUUUCAUUUCCGCCACGAUGACAAAUGCUUCAUAAUAUGCUCUUGUUAACAUUUUCUUAAAAUUGCAUAAACUUGAACAUGACAUCCGCAUCAUGAUAACAACAUUUAAUAUGUUUAAAAAUUGUUGUUGCAUUAAAUUGCUAAUGCACAUGAGGAUUUAUCGGAAUUGUAGUUUGUUGUUCCGGCCUCAUUUAAACUUGCCUAGAUAGGUAGUUUUUCAUAUGCUUCACCUCUUGCCAUGUUAACAAACAUUUAAUUUUGUUGAGUACCUAACCGAGAUCGAACUAAAUAACUUGAAUGUGGUGUUUCGUCAAUAUACAACGGAGUUGCAUAUUGAGCUCCACUUAAUCUGUAGGAUUGUUUGUGCACUUUGUCAUGCCAUGCCAUGUAUCAUUAAACCGGACAUGCAUCAUACUUGUUUGCGCAUUGUGCCAUGCUUAUGUGGUGGUUGUUUACUAUGUUGUUUGCUUCUUUCCGGUGUUGUUUCUUCGGGUUGGUUCCGAUAACGUCGCGUUUGUGAGGACCCAUUCGACUAUGUCUGUGUGUCUUCUUCAUGGACUCGUUCAUCUUCCUUGCGGUAUCUCAGGCAAGAUGACCAUACCCUCGAAAUCACUUCUAUCUUUGCUUGCUAGUUGCUCGCUCUUUUGCUAUGCCUAUGCUGCGAUACCUACCACUUGCUUAUCAUGCCUCCCAUAUUGUUGAACCAAGCCUCUAAGCCACCUUGUCCUAGCAAACCGUUGUUUGGCUAUGUUACCGCUUUGCUCAGCCCCUCUUAUAGCGUUGUUAGUUGCAGGUGAAGAUUGAAGUUUGUUCCUUGUUGGAACAUGGCAAUGUUGUUCCUUGUUGGAACAUGUUUACUUGUUGGGAUAUCACAAUAUAUCUUAUUUAUUUAAUGCAUCUAUAUACUUGGUAAAGGGUGGAAGGCUCGGCCUUAUGCCUGCGUGUUUCGUUCCACUCUUGCCGCCCUAGUUUCCGUCAUAUCGGUCUUAUGUUCCCGGAUUUUGCGUUCCUUAUGCGGUUGGGUAAUAAUGGGAACCCCUUGACAGUUCGCCUUGAAUAAAACUCCUCCAGCAAGGCCCAACCUUGGUUUUACCAUUCGCCACCUAGCCUUUUUCCCUUGGGAGUCGCGCAUCCCGAGGGUCAUCUUUAUUUUAACCCCCCCCCCCCGGGCCAGUGCUUGUCUAAGUGUUGGUCCGAACUAGAGUCCUUUGCAGCGCCACCUCGGGGAAACUUGAGGGCUGGUUUUAGUUGUACGGAGCGCUCAUCCGGUGUUGCCCUAAGAACGAGAUAUGUGCAGCUCCUAUCAGGAUGUCGGCGCAUCGUGCGGUCUUGCUGGUCUUGUUUUACUUGUCGAAAUGUCUUGUAACCGGGAUUCCGAGCCUGAUCGGGUCUUCCCGCUAGAAGGAAUAUCCUUUGUUGACCGUGAGAGCUUGUGAUGGGCUAAGUUGGGACACCCCUGCAGGGAUUUGAACUUUCGAAAGCCGUGCCCGCGGUUAUGGGCAGAUGGGAAUUUGUUAAUGUCCGGUUGUAGAAAACCUGAAGUUGACCUUAAUUAAAAUGCACCAAUCGCGUGUGUUACCGUGAUGGUCUCUUCUCGGCGGGGUCCGGGAAGCGAACACGGUGUUGGAGUUAUGCUUGACGUAGGUUGUUCUAGGAUCACUUCUUGAUCAUAGUUUCUCGACCGUGCUUUGCCUUCUCUUCUCGCUCUCAUUUGCGUAUGUUAGCCACCAUAUAUGCUAGUCGCUUGCUGCAGCUCCACCUCAUACCUUUUACCUUACCCAUAAGCUUAAAUAGUCUUGAUCGCGAGGGUGUGAGAUUGUUGAGUCCCCGUGGCUCACAGAUACUUUCAAAACCAGUUUGCAGGUGCGGAUGUUACCAAGCAGGUGACGCAACCAAGCUCAAGGAGGAGCUCGAUGAAGAUCUUGUCCUUUGUGUUGUUCCGUUCUAGUUGAUCAGUAGUGGAGCCCAGUUGGGGUCAAUCGGGGACCUUGUCGCAUUUGGGGUUCUUCUUUUAUUUUGGUUCCGUAGUCGGACCUUGAUUGUAUUUGGUUGAGGUAAUGCUUUAUUCAUGUAAUUGUGUGAAGUGGCGAUUGUAAGCCAUCUAUGUACCUCUCUCCCUUAUGUAUUACAUGGGUUGUGUGAAGAUUACCUCACUUGCGACAUUGCUUUCAAUGCGGUUAUGCCUCUAAGUCGUGCUUCGACACGUAGGAGAUAUAGCCGCAUCGAGGGUGUUACAAGUUGGUAAUCAGAGCCUUCCCCGACCUUAGGAGCCCCAUUGCUUGAUCGAAUUAGCGAACGAGUUGAGUCUAGAAAAAUGUUUUGAGUCAUUUAGGAAUUAUAUAUCGGAGAGUUAGGAAUUCUUUUUACUUCCCAGUCUCUUCAUUGCUCUGGUAAGGCGUCCUGACGUAGAGUUUUGACUCUUCUCUUCUCAAAUUUCACUAUUUUUUUAUGAUCACGCGGGUAUCUUGGAAUCGUUCCGAUGGUUUUGUGACGAGAACAUUGUUCUUGGUGCCUCCUGACAUUUAGGGGUUGUGGCAGUGUCCCGGGGAGUUGAGCUCUGAGGUGUUGUCGUCACAAUUUUAUCGUUGCAGUUCUAGAAUACCUGAGUUUAGUUUCGCCGACAUCGAAAAUCUCUUUUAUGCAGUUGUUGGUGAGAUAACCUUGACGCCACCCAGUACUGGGGCGGGAGUUCGGGAGUAUUGCCAUAACUUGUAUAACGGAUGCUUUUCGAAGGUUGAGGUAGACGAUUUCCGAAGGUUUCUUGGUUAUGUGUUGAAGGAUGGAUACAGCCGGAUGUAGGAUUUGCUAGUUUUGGGUGGGAUAUUAUGCUUCCCAUGUAUCCCCAACACCUGAUUGCAUAACCGGGAAAAUUUCGGGAGUUUAUAAGUAGGAAUUCAAGUAGCUCUUAGGAUAUCUUUCCGACAGAUGUAUGAUAUGAAAUUGGGGUUCGACGUCUAGUGGUCCGCCUAUUCACGGUUGGUUUUACAGUGGUCUCGUUGUGUCUUAAAGAGUCCUUGGCUAUGCCGACUCGGGGACGCUUCGUAUGUCAUGUGCACUGCCUUGUACAUGAUGGUGUUGUACGAUCGAGCCCGUGUAGGCCCCACCACAAAAACUUCAGACGAAAUCUCUAUCAUAUAUUUGUUCCGGCUUAUUUUGCAAGCCAAUCCUUUGUUUUUGUUUGGAGUUGUGGUAUUCGAGUUGCUUCAAUGUCAAGUGUUGAUUCCAUACCUUCCCCAAAUGGUGUUCUCAUACUCCGAUGUGAAUACUAAUCCUUCUCGAUAAUCGAGAUUGUUAUGCCAAUCUUGUUCUACCGGGGUGUCUCUCUUCAAGUGGAUCCGAUCACUUCAACAUUCACAAGAUCAAUUAUCAGUUCUUCUCAAUGUUGUUUGUUUCAUCCAUCUCCAAGUUGCCUUUGUUUUUUCCCGCCCUCCCUCCCUUAUUUUUCUUUAAGGACUCAAAUUUCUUAAUCGAGUAUCCAUCUUAUUGAUGUGAAGCCUCUCCAUUAUUUUCCUUCAAUGUUCUUAUCCGGUGAUUCUCAUGAAGAUACUAAAGGAGCUUCUAGUUCAUCAUUCUUCUUUCUUUUAUCUUCUCCGGUGGUUUCAAGUCAAGCUUUGUUGAUCUUACCUCUUUCCUCAUUUCAAUGCCUUCUCAUACCGGUGUACCUCAUAACAAUCACUUCUCACUAUUCAUUUGUUCUGGCGUGCUCAAAGCUUUCUCAAAAGGCUCGUCUUGUCAUUCAAGAUCUGUUCAACCUAUUUCGAAGUUGUUAUCCCAUUCAAGCCAUUUAAUUCAACCGGUGCAAUCUCUCCUUCAAAUCGUUCAAUGGUGUUUCUUUGAGUGGGCCCUAACCCACAGGUCUUUUCCCAGGAUCUUACCUGACUCUUCCUAUUUUCCCGGAGCUAUCCUCAAAAUUUCCUUUCGAAGUUUGACGUAAGUAUGAUUUAUCAUCAGUUAAAUGUCUUUCUCCAAGAUCUUUCAAAUUCAUUUCAUUGUUGAUUCAACUUUUAUAUUCUUCUUUAUUCUGGUGCCUCAAUAAUUCUUGGUGGUGUUUCUCGUUGUCAUUCUCAUCUUUUGAAGACCGAAGAAGAGUUUCUCUUUAAUCUUGCUCCAUUCUUUUCAAGAUUCAUGGUGCUAGCUUGUUGCCAUCCUCUCAUAAUUAUUUUCGAUUGUGAGAAUUUUUUUUCACCCAUCAGGAUAUAUUCAAGGGUAUUUUCAGUUUGAUUAUCCGGAGCCCAUCAUUUCAGAAGACUUGUUCAUUCUCAGCUUUCAGCUCUCGUUCCCCAAAUCUCACCGGUGCAUCAUUCAAUAUUCUUUAAUCAGCGCGUGAUCUCUUCGUUUCAGUUGUAUCUAAAUUCUCUCAAGUAUCUUCGUUCAUUUUCAUUUCUUAUGGUGGUUCUUCCAGGUUUCUCUUCCUUAUCAAUUUAUUCGUUGUCAAUCCUACCGGUGGUUCAAAGAAGACAUUCCCAAGUUGGCACUAUAUCUCUCUUAAUCCUUGCUACGAGAAUAAGUAGUGUGCCAAAUCUGUUGCUUGGCAUAAAUUUAAUUGAUGAAGGAUAAGCAUAAUGUAAUUCUUAUUCUUGUUUCAUCCAAGUGAUUAAUUCCUUACUUCGGAGGCUCAUCAAAUUCUUGAUUUCAUUUGUUCACCUUUCUUUUCUGGAGUUCCAAGCUUUUCCGCAUUAUCUCAUCGCGAAGCUCCAUCUAAAUCAUUUCAAGGCUUCACCUUGUGUUUUCAACUACCCUUUCUUUCCGUUUGAUCAUUCUUUUGUUUAACGGAGUUCUUCAUGGAGGUUCUACAUGAUGGUUCAUCAAGGAUUUAUUUCCUUCUCGAAGUUUUCAUCGAGAUUCUUUUAAGGAGCUCAAGCAUUCUUCUUCUUGUAAUACGGAGUGCAAUUCUUUCUUCCGUACCAUUGGAGGUGGUAUUAUGUCAUUCUUGAUAAUUUUCCUUCGUGCUUCAUGUUUCUCAAGCUAUCAAUAAUGAGGUAUUUUAAAUUCAUCAACCUCUUCGUUGGAAUUAUCUUGGGUUAUGUUUCACCUAAAGCCUUCCCUAAGGAUUGUUACUAUUUAUGGUGCUUAUAAACGACCCUAGUUCUUCAUCUAUCCUCCCGGUGAAAUAGCUUUCUCGUCUCCUUGUUCAUAUCAAUCCAAUUCUUUCUCCCGUGAGUGGUAGGUUGUCACCUCAUAAUUUGAGAUGUAUUCCAUAAGACCAUAUCAAGCUUAUUCUUUUAGUUGUUGGUUUUCCAACAACUCUGUUCUAGCAUUUGUUGUAACCGUGCUCUCUCAAGAUCUUGUUUCCCUGCGUUCCGGAGGCAUUGUGAUGUUGCUCUCUGCAACCCAUCUUCUUGUUUUGUCAGGAUCGUGUUCUUUUCGUCCUUAUCCUUUUAACCGGAGUGUUGUGCCCGCUUUUCGAGUUCUUCCCAUCUUGUCAAGUUUUUUGCCUCCCUUCUCAACCGGAGUGCCGCCUGAAACCGUUCUUACCCAUUGUGCUAUUCUUUCAAUAGUUCUGGAGGAAGCGUAUUGUUGUUUUCAUCAAGUAUCCCCUCAUCUUGUCAAAUUCAUGUUCAAUUCCUUCCGUUUACAGUCGGAGAGCUCUCCAUAUUAUAUCAUUCUUAAUCCUUCUCUAUCUUGUCUUAACCAGAGUGGUUUCAAUAUAUAUCUUGCCCUUCAACCUCAAGGUUUUCUUUCGCAAUGAUUCUUUGUCCCUCUUUUCUAACGGAGUGUUUUCGACUUUGUUCACCUUAGUUGUAUUCUUUUCUCGAAUUUGUUCAACCUCGCAAGGUUCUUUGGUCUCACUCGUUUGUCAAAGAAGCAACUUAGGUUUACCUCUUCUCUUUCUCUUCCGUUUUCCCUCCGGUGCCAUUCUAGAUCUCGGGACGAGAUCCUCUCGUAGUGGUGGAGUGUUGUGACGCCCCGAGACCGAUGCACGAGAAGACCUCCAUAUAUUCCGGGUUUCACCGUGUGUUUCAUUUGUGCCUCCCCUUUUAUUUUUUGCAUUGCAUCAUGUCAUCAUGCCAUCAUCUCAUAAAUCUUUUGCAACUCAACUAAAUAAAUGGCAUGGAUCUUUGAUCCAUUUAACUCGAGGGAAUUCACAUGGUGAUUCUCUUUAUAACAUAUCCUCCUGAUAUUAGGGAGCUAUAUUAAAUAUUUCAUUUGUUGGAAUUAACCGGAACACACUUGCAAAAUAAAUCUCAAUGCCUUUGUUAUCACAAACUCUUGGCCUCUAACUUUGCCCAUAUAUCCUUUCGUCUUUUUCCGGAGCUCCACCUAAAUUCUCAACAUUUUUGGACACUUCCAAAACCUAGUCCUAGUUCAAACCCAUUUGAACUAAAUUCAAAUGAGUUUGAAUUUACAUCUUCCAAUCUUGGCCUUUUAUAUUUUCUUGGGACAAGCGCAUUUUUGUGAGUCCGGGAAAAUAAUCCCCUUGCCCAAAUUCUUGUCCACUCAUUUCUUUUCUCUCCUUUUAUUUCUUUGCUUUCCUGCUUUUGUGAGAGAUUUGAAGAAGAGAGAGGUAGAUGCCAGCAACAACAGCCGACCAGGCCUCUGGCCUUUCCCUCUCCAUGGUCUGGCUCAGCAGAUCGAGGUCCAACCAGCAGCCCCGCCGGCCUCUAAGGCCCAUUUGGCCCAAGG